CCUACGGGAGGCAGCAGUGAGGAAUAUUGGUCAAUGGCCGGAAGGCUGAACCAGCCAUGCCGCGUGAAGGUCAGUGCCCUAUGGGCGUUAAACUUCUUUUGUGCGGGAGCAAUAAUGGUCACGUGUGGCCAGACGAGAGUACCGUACGAAUAAGCAUCGGCUAACUCCGUGCCAGCAGCCGCGGUAAUACGGGGGAUGCAAGCGUUAUCCGGAUUUAGUGGGUUUAAAGGGUGCGUAGGCUGUGAGGUAAGUCAGCGGUGAAAUGCCCCCGCUCAACGGGGUGAAGUGCCAUUGAUACUGGCUUGCUGGAAUGCGGAUGCCGUGGGAGGAAGGUGUGGUGUAGCGGUGAAAUGCAUAGAUAUCAGACAGAACACCGAUUGCGAAGGCAUCUCACGGAUCCGCGAUUGACGCUGAUGCACGAAAGCGUGGGGAGCAAACAGGAUUAGAUACCCGGGUAGUC
rnacentral:rRNA from 1 species